rnacentral:rRNA from 1 species
UAGUAACGGCGAGUGAAGCGGGAAGAGCUCAAAUUUGUAAUCUGGCACCUUCGGUGUCCGAGUUGUAAUCUCGAGAAGUGUUUUCCGCGCCGGACCGCAUACAAGUCUGUUGGAAUACAGCGUCAUAGUGGUGAGAACCCCGUAACUGAUGCGGAUGCCCGGUGCUUUGUGAUACACUUUCGAAGAGUCGAGUUGUUUGGGAAUGCAGCUCAAAUUGGGUGGUAAAUUCCAUCUAAAGCUAAAUAUUGGCGAGAGACCGAUAGCGAACAAGUACCGUGAGGGAAAGAUGAAAAGCACUUUGGAAAGAGAGUUAACAGUACGUGAAAUUGUUGGAAGGGAAACGCUUGAAGUCAGACUUGCUAUUUGGAAUUCAGCCGCAAGGUGUACUUUUCAAUUCGCAGGCCAGCAUCAGUUUUCGGGGGUGGAAAAGGGUAGAGAGAAGGUAGCAAUUUCGGUUGUGUUAUAGCUCUUUGCUGGAUUCAUCCUAGGGGACUGAGGAACGCAGCACGCUUUUUGCAAGGCUUUCGGGCUUU